AAGCCUGAUCCAGCCAUACCGCGUGGGUGAAGAAGGCCUUCGGGUUGUAAAGCCCUUUUGUUGGGAAAGAAAUCCAGCUGGCUAAUACCCGGUUGGGAUGACGGUACCCAAAGAAUAAGCACCGGCUAACUUCGUGCCAGCAGCCGCGGUAAUACGUAGGGGACAAGCGUUGUCCGGAUUUACUGGGCGUAAAGGGCACGCAGGCGGUUUUUUAAGUCAGAUGUGAAAGGUACCGGCUCAACCGGUGACAUGCAUUUGAAACUGAAAGACUUGAGUAUUGGAGAGGCAAGUGGAAUUCCUAGUGUAGCGGUGAAAUGCGUAGAUAUUAGGAGGAACACCGGUGGCGAAGGCGGCUUGCUGGACAAAUACUGACGCUGAGGUGCGAAAGCGUGGGGAGCAAACA
rnacentral:rRNA from 1 species